AGAGUUUGAUCCUGGCUCAGGAUGAACGCUGGCGGCGUGCCUAAUACAUGCAAGUCGAGCGGAAAGGCCUCUUCGGAGGUACUCGAGCGGCGGACGGCAGAGUAACGCGUAGGAGCAUACCCCAAACUGAGGGAUAACUGCCCGAAAGGGUGGCUAAUACCGCAUGUGAUCUUCGGAUUAAAGCUUCGGCGGUUUGGGAAUGGCCUGCGUUCGAUUAGCUAGUUGGUGAGGUAAAGGCUCACCAAGGCGACGAUCGAUAACUGGUCUGAGAGGAUGAUCAGUCUGACUGGAACUGAGACACGGUCCAGACUCCUACGGGAGGCAGCAGUAGGGAAUUUUCCACGAUGGGCGAAAGCCUGACGGAGCAACGCCGCGUGCAGGAUGAAGGCCCUUGGGUCGUAAACUGCUUUUAUGUGAGAAGAAUAUGACGGUAACACAUGAAUAAGGGUCGGCUAACUACGUG
rnacentral:rRNA from 1 species